CGUCCGGCUUAUGGGCAGGUUACCUACGUGUUACUCACCCGUCCGCCACUCGUUGGCGACCAAAAUCAAUCAGGUGCAAGCACCAUCAAUCAAUUGGGCCAACGCGUUCGACUUGCAUGUAUUAGGCACACCGCCGGCGUUCAUCCUGAGCCAUGAUCAAACUCU
rnacentral:rRNA from 1 species